rnacentral:rRNA from 1 species
AGUGAACGCUGGCGGCGUGCCUAAUACAUGCAAGUCGAACGGAGUGGGGCACGGGGGAGUAAUUUAUAGCUAAUCUCCCCCUUGCUGGAGGAAAAAAGUAAGAAAUGACUGCUAUUACUCAUAGCAAGGGUUGAGACUAUUUCGUAUCAGCUAGUCGGUGGGGUAACGGCCUACCGAGGCUAUGACGCGUAACUGGCCUGAGAGGAUGAUCAGUCACAUUGGAACUGAGACACGGUCCAAACUCCUACGGGAGGCAGCAGUAGGGAAUAUUGCGCAAUGGGGGAAACCCUGACGCAGCAACGCCGCGUGGAGGAUGACACUUUUCGGAGCGUAAACUCCUUUUGUUAGGGAAGCGGUACCUAACGAAUAAGCACCGGCUAACUCCGUGCCAGCAGCCGCGGUAAUAC